CAUCUGGAAUUAACUAAAAUCCAAAAAUGGAGGGCACACCUGUGAGGAAUUUCUGCUUGAUGUGAAGUGGGAAGAUCUACUUCUAAUCCUUUGAGGUGGGAAGACACAACUUUAAUCCAGAUCUUUUGAGCUGGGAAAACCCACCGCUAAUUUGGGCCAUGCCUUCUGCUAGAAGCCUGUCUAAGGAUGUGGAAGAAGGAAGCUUUUGUUCUUUGCCUGCUUGCUCUUGCCUCGUUGGCAAGUCCAUUCCUUCACUGGCAUCAGAGCCAACUUCUUCAGAACUCCAGCAUAUGCUGAAGACCAGCUAAGACAUCCAGCCUCAUGAACUGAGCAGCUACUGGGUUCGUGAACCUUCUGUUCAUAGACAUCCAUUGUUGGACUAGCUGGACUACAGCUUGUUUUUGCAGCCUCCGCCUUCAUGAACAUGGAAAGUUCUGUUCUGGGAUUUUAUUGAAAGUUUGGGUAAACUCAGUUCACAGCCUCACAAAACUCCUCCUCCCUUACCUCCUCUCCUCUCCCUGCUGGAAUCUUUGGGACAGAGAUCUUUUGCUAUUCACCAUACCUGUACAAUCAACAUCCACCCUUCAAGGAAAAGAAGUAAUAAAGAUGUAUUUCCUGCCAACCAUUUGGGACAAUGAGAGAAAAGGAGGAACUAUAAAGUGUGGACACUAUAACCAUUGUGUACCCAGGUGCAUUUCCUCGGAGGAUAAGGAUGGAAGACUUAGUCACAGGGCCUGAGAAAGUCAUACAAAGAAGCUGCCUUGACUGGGGGACAAGAAGAAAAC